GACGAACCACACAAACGUUAUUCGGAAUUACUGGGCUUAAAGGGUGCGUAGGCGGCGCGGAAAGUAGGGUGUGAAAUCCCUCGGCUCAACCGAGGAAUUGCGCCCUAAACUACCGUGCUCGAGGGAGAUAGAGGUGAGUGGAACUUAGGGUGGAGCGGUGAAAUGCGUUGAUAUCCUAAGGAACACCGGUGGCGAAAGCGGCUCACUGGACCGGUACUGACGCUGAUGCGCGAAAGCGUGGGGAGCAAACGGG
rnacentral:rRNA from 1 species